UCUACUAGUCUUUUUUUUGUGCCAGCUUUUUUUUUCCCCUUACGAAUGAGCCUGUUUCAUCCAGCUGCACCUUCCAGCUCUGUGGCUGACGUUUCUGUGCUCUUUGGCCAUGGUGCUCGCUUCAUGGACAUGAAAGAGCAGGUAUGAGUACAAUGAACUUGCAGAUUCCUGCAGUUCAUUCCCAUCCUUCAUCCCACUUUUCUUAUCACACAGUCCCCAUGAAAGCAGCUAGUUUCACCACCAGGAUUUGCCCCCUAACUCAAGCUGCUGGAGGAAGAACAGAGGCCCCAGUACGUAUUGCUUGUUUUAUCAGAAAGUGAGAGUAUGUGUUGAGAAACCGCAAAAGGCAGGAACACACAGUUGGUUGUGCAGUUCCCUUCCUCAAACAAAAGACUGUGUGAUACCCUGCACCCAGCAAGCCCUGCCCUGACUACCCUGCUGCAGUGCCCUGCUGUGCCAUGGAGCAAAGAACCAUGAAGAAAGGUAAACACAGGUUAGGACAUCCCUGGAGAUGCCAAGUCCUUGCUGACACAGUGUGGACAUAGUGCAGGGUAUGGUCCUGGGCCAUCCCCGAGCACCUCUGGGCAACUCGCACAAAGUCUUCGAUGCCACUCAAGGGGCCAUAGGAAGAGCAAAGCCCCACUGUUGGGGCAGAGCAGUACAUCAGUGGCACAGCCCCUCACCCAGAUCACUGCUGGCAGUGGGCUCCUUGCGGUUCUCCCCUACCCAGGCAGUUCUGGUCCAGCUGCCCUUCCUCUUCUGCAGGGGCAGAUGACCAGGCGGUGCUGAAGUGACCAGAUUCUGCUGCAGGUGGUGAUGCUGUUGGAGUCCUGCUGGGACAUGUGAUGGCUCGAUUGGGUAGAGGAGAUGCAGUCAGUGCUUCUCCCUCAACCUGAGAGAUGAAGUUCUUGUGCCCUGUGCGGGCAGCAGGCACAGGUGGCAGGGGAAUUUGCCUUGGUUAUGGAGCAGGCAGUCUCUGAGCUAAAUGCAGCCCUUAUGCUGGGAUGCAGAAUCUGAAGCAAUCAAUCAGGUUAAAUUAGCAAGUUCCUGCCCAUCUGCUGAGUGUUGUCUGGCCUUGAGCAAGGUGAGGUGUCUCAGGUUUCUCGGGCUCCCAAGUUACUGCCAACAGCUGAGCCAUCAGUUGGGACUGAUCUGCCUUGCAUGCUCCCAGCAAUGUGUGGUAGUCUGAAGCACAGAAGAUCAGAGCCCAUUGCAACCACUCUGUAAGAACAGGCUCGUCCUGGGGGUCUGUAUGCUCUGUAUUGCAAGGGUCAUGCACUGAAAUGCUCAGAUACAUCUCUAUCUCCAACAUCUUCAAAAACAUGUGCAAGCAACAGGAUGGUGCACAGGCUCUUUCCUUCACUCUUAUCCACAAAUGCAGUUGUACUGCUAAUGGAAUCCUCCCAUUAUAAAUGAAUAAACGAUGCCCUGAGUGUGGGAUAAGACCGGCCCCUGGGGCUCUCUGGGCUCUCCCCCUGCCUUUCUUCUGUCCAAUACCAUAACAGUGGCACAAAGUCUUUCUUCCUGCUUUGAACAAGGAUUAUCGUAGCCAAGGCUACACAUUAUACCCUGUGUCAACUCCAGUAUCAGGAUAACCAAUUAAAACAAACUACCUUCUCCAUUUACCAGCUCUUCCCUCUCUGCCUUUCAGCUAUUUUCACCAGAAAAACCUGAAUCUCCUAACAAAAGAGCCUUGUUCUCCAGUUCCUUGAGUAGGAUUGUGUGCCAGUACUAUGCCUGCCUGCUGCUCCCCAGAGAGCGCAGGGUCAGGGUGCUGGCAGGGACUUUCCACCCACCACAUCCCUGCCUGCCUGCAUCACUUUGGGAUGGAGCCAGAGGGAGGUGGCUGGGGGCAGCAGCACCAAGAUGCAAUCCCAGGCAUCACCAUGAACGCUAUUUAUAACUUCUCCUUUCUGUGCUAUGUUGGUGAGAUAAUAGGAUAGUUGUUUCGCUAAGUAAGCUGUAUUUUUUCCCCACAAAUAUCUCUUGCUUUGUCAUCAUUUCCUUGCUCUUAUAGGAAACCCUUUUUUUUCAGGAAGCGUCUCCUUAAUUCCUAUUAAUAAGAAGACAUUCAGAAGGUGAGACACAUACUGAAACAACAUAAAAUGUUGGCAGUGACAACCAGCCUAUAGACAAGAGGGCUGUGGGCUGGAAGCCGACCACUUGGACCAUCGCUCUCUACUUCAUCACUCGGAAGAGCCACCUCCGUCAAUGGGAGUCUUGGCCACCUGUUGGCUCCUCUUUCAUGGGUUCUGGUGGCCUGAUUCUGAGGGUGCUGGUCUCUUGUGCUGACUGAAGCACACUCACAAGAUCACCGCCUGUUACAACAGCUGACUUCCACACAAAUCUCCAUGUGCUUUGUAUGGGUGCAUCGUCAGUUUGGUGGACUGAGGUCAGGGCACUUGGCAGAGCCCCAGUGCCCCCCUUACAUCUAGUCAUAAGUUUCUCCAGAAGCAGCGGGGAUUGAAACAUUACUCUAAAAUCCAAUAAUGAUCUGAAAGAGAAUGAGUUCCUAUCAGUAGCAGCGUUCCUAGAGAGCUAAGCAGAGAAUUACAGCUGUAUGACACCAUUUACAGAAGGUUGGCUCAAGAGCUUUAUAGCUAAUUAAUGCUCUCUGCAGUCCCAUGUGCUUUGCCACAGCAGCAUUCUUGCAGGGGUAUAUGUCCUGACACAUAUUUGGGAUUCAAAGUCUUAAGAACAGAGACGCAAACCGGGAGCUGACAUAUUCAGGAAGACCAUCCACGGAGGACAAGGAGAAGGGGCAGCCCUUCUGAAAAACGAGGUUGCUGGAAGUGUGUCCAUGGUCACACAAGGUCUGUUGCAGAGCCUGAAGAUGUUCCAGCUCUGCCUGGAAAUACUGCCUUCUUUUCUGAAAAACAGAGCUAUAAAUUACAGGUGGGCUUGGACCAGAACCCAGGAUCUCAAUAAUCACAUAUGUUUCUGGAAAUGUCUGAUUCACAUUCAAAAUUUGUUGCUGGUUUCUACUCCUCUACAUCUCAAGGCUGAAUAAGUCUGGAUGAUUGCAUCUUUCCCUGGAGGUUAAGCUGCAUGAAUCCAGAGUCCUCUUGCUUCAUCUGUACAAGCACUGCUUUGGCCCAAAUCUAAUCCAUGUUCAUUUGACGGGCUGGUUUCAAGCUGCCUGCAAGAAGCACACACCCCAGGAGCUCCUCUCUGUUGGAAGUCUUUGACAGGGUCCUCCUGCAGAGGAGGAGAGCUCCUCACCCUAGGACAAUGGAGAGCAGAAAGCUAGUCUGGGUUAUGCAGCUAAAAGAGAGUUUAAGAAAGUUUUCUGCCUCAGCUUUCUGUCCCGUGGUGUCUUGCACCAUGUGGAUGAUCACAGGAAUCCAGAACAUCUGAUUUCAUGUGAAAAGGUAAUGUUGAUUGCUCCUUCCUUGUUUCUUCCAUGCUACACUUCUCAUUGACAUCCAUUUUCUGCGCAAGACAUUGACUGCCGAUCACAGUCUCUAUUGCUUCUCUGACUUCUUUCCCACUGCUUCCAACAGAGGUUUUAAACAGCACAGAGCAGGACAGGAGAAGUCAGCCAGUCCUUCUGGUCUCUUUCGCUGCCUCUGGAAGGUGAUGUCCUGCAUGUCUCAUGGAACAAGGGGGGAUGCCAAAGCAGCUUUUAAGUUGUUUUCCUGGGCAUGGCUUUCUAAUCCAAACACAAAUUUUCUCCAUGAUCUCUUGCCACCCCACAGUUUCAGCAGCCCUUUCCUGGGCCUUGCUGUGCCCUAUUGCAGAUAGCCAUCACCACUGCCCCGUGCCCUAUCUGUAUGCACUCCUAUUUUCCCAAAUAUUCUGUUUCACUCUUUCUUCCUCCAUGAGCAUCUGUGGUAGCUGCUGGUGGAACCUCAUGCUCCUUUGCAGCCCUGCAGUAUGCAACCUGUGUGUGGAAGGGAGGCUGAAGUCUCUUGGGACUUUGCUUUCAAAUGUGCACUGUGAUGGCACCUGGGGACAGCCUCACCUCUAAACAAGGAUGUCCAAGUUUGCCAGGGCUGCUUUUCGAGGAUGGCCAGCUGCAUGUCUGCACUGCUGGGGACAGGACGUGAUGAUGUGUGUGAGUGCAAAGGUGCCUGUCGCUGGACUCAGCAGUUGUGAGGAGCAUCACAUCCAUGCCCAUACAGAGUCACAGGCUGGCAGGCCUCUUGUCCUGGCACUGGGUAACACAGAACGGACGCUAGUUAUGUCCUCUUGGCACAUUCCCCUCAGGUAUUUAUGAACACUGAUGAGGUCCCCCCGAGCCCCCUCUUCUCCAUGCUGAGCAGGUGCAGCUCUCUCUGCCUUUGCCCACAGGAGAGGUGCUCCAGGCCCUGCAGCACCUGGUGACCCUCUGCUGGACUGUCUCCAGUGUGUCCAGGUCUCUCCUAUACUGGAGAGCCCGGAGCUGGACUGAGCACUCCAGGUGCUCAGCAGUGCUGAGCAGAGGAGAAGGAUCACCUCCCUCCACCUGCUGGUGAUACUUUGCCCAGUGCAGCCCAGGACUCCCACGUCCCUUUCAGCUGAAGACUUCCCGGAACUGCUACUUCCACUGCCAGCACAUGGCCAGUGACUAAACAAACCCAAACUGAUUUUGAACUUUCCCAGCACAUGAGCUCCUGUUUUAGCAAGAUGACGUGCUCCUGGGAGGCUCAGACACUGACGAAGCAGCUGCCUUGCUGGAUUUCCCCUCCUGCUGCCGAUAAAAACCGCUGCUUCCUUCCCAUGAAGUGGGCGGGAGCCUCUGGCCUCCUUCCGACUGUGCUGUCACCCCUCACCGUCGCCUCCCCCAGGGCACAUGGGGAGCACCUAGAGGCAUGGGUAGGGGAUGAGCUCCAGGAAGGGGGUUUUGAGGCUCUUGCUGGUACGUGGCCAUCCCACAGAGCAGUGCUGUGGAUGCUGGUUCUGCUCUGGGCAGGGAGAGCUGUCACAUGGUCCUGUCUUUGGGACGCACCUUGCCUCACUGCUCCCCCAUUCUCAGGCAUUUGCACUGAAUUGUUUUAAUUCCUUGUUCCCUGGUUUUCAGCAAUCCAGCUUGUGUGGUGGCAAAGGCAGUUCUGCAGGACCCCCAGUCCUACUCCUAAGUACACAGGCUCAGCCCGCAGGCUGCUGCUGAGGUUUCUGCACUGAAAUGCAUCAGGAUAGCCCACCUGGUUCCAACCCCCACACCAGUCCCUACAGAUCACCUCGCUUUUGGGAAGCUUUUCCCAAUUCCAUCCCAAAUAUCCCUGGUGCUUCUGCCCUGAUAUGACAGGAGCUGCAGGACAUGUGUGUCCUUGUUCCUCACAGCAAACUCCCUUGACUUCAAGGCAGUGAGUGACUUCUGCCCACCUUGGACCUCCUGGAACAAGAGAAAAUCACAGGUCUGACUCUCUCCCAAAACUCAGACUGGACUCUGCCCAGCACUGGGGACUUCUGGAAAAGAGACUGAUGGACAGGCACGCAUCCCAUGGACGCAGUGGACAUAGCUGUGGAGCUGGAGAACAAGGGGUUUGAGGGGAGCUGGGGGUGUCCAGGCUGGAGACAAGAAGGCCAAGUAGGGUCUUACUGCUGGUGAAGGCUACUGCCUGGGAGGAAAGGGAGGAAGCGGUCCUCUGAAGUACAUGGAGCUUUCUUCUUUCUUCUUGUCUUCUACAUGGGAGGAGGCAAUGGGCACACGUUGUGACAAGAUAGGUUCUGGAGCAAUCCACUCUGGCUUUUCAUGGCUGGGAGCAGGACUUAGAGGCACCCCUGAGCCCAGAGGGACUUGUACAACCUGUCUGCACCCCGUUGGGCCCACAUGGCCCCGCUCAGCCCUGCCUGGCACAGCAAGGCCGCGCGAGUGGGCUGGGACGGUGAGCAAAGCGCAUUGGUGCCAUACUUUGAGCACAAAGACAUCGCUGGCCAUCAUUAUCUCCACCAGGAAGUGAGCAGUACAGAUUAAGCCCAGGAGGCACACUUGGUCAAAACGGCGUGUCGUCAGCUAUGAGAGUUGUGCCGGUCUCAGGAUGAAAGGAGCAGACGCCAUUUGCCUGAUGGAUCCGAAUGCUUUCCUGGAAUUACCAAAGGAAUAAAUGAUCUCAGCCAUAUAA